AUUGAACGCUGGCGGCAGGCCUAACACAUGCAAGUCGAACGGUAACAGGAAGAAGCUUGCUUCUUUGCUGACGAGUGGCGGACGGGUGAGUAAUGUCUGGGAAACUGCCUGAUGGAGGGGGAUAACUACUGGAAACGGUAGCUAAUACCGCAUAACGUCGCAAGACCAAAGAGGGGGACCUUCGGGCCUCUUGCCAUCGGAUGUGCGCAGAUGGGCUUAGCUAGUAGGUGGGGUAACGGUUCACCUAGGCGACGAUCCCUAGCUGGUCUGAGAGGAUGACCAGCCACACUAGAACUGAGACACGGUCCAGACUCCUACGGGAGGCAGCAGUGGGGAAUAUUGCACAGUGGGCGCAAGCCUGAUGCAGCCAUGCCGCGUGUAUGAAGAAGGCCUUCGGGUUGUAAAGUACUUUCAGCGGGGAGGAAGGGAGUAAAGUUAAUACCUUUGCUCAUUGACGUUACCCGCAGAAGAAGCACCGGCUAACUCCGUG
rnacentral:rRNA from 1 species